rnacentral:rRNA from 1 species
ACUGCGAAGGGGGGACGGAGAAGGCUAUGUUGGCCGGGCGACGGUUGUCCCGGUUUAAGCGUGUAGGUGUGUGUUCCAGGUAAAUCCGGUUCACUUUAACACUGAGGCGUGACGACGAGGCACUACGGUGCUGAAGCAACAAAUGCCCUGCUUCCAGGAAAAGCCUCUAAGCAUCAGGUAACAUCAAAUCGUACCCCAAACCGACACAGGUGGUCAGGUAGAGAAUACCAAGGCGCUUGAGAGAACUCGGGUGAAGGAACUAGGCAAAAUGGUGCCGUAACUUCGGGAGAAGGCACGCUGACACGUAGGUGAAGUGAUUUACUCAUGGAGCUGAAGUCAGUCGAAGAUACCAGCUGGCUGCAACUGUUUAUUAAAAACACAGCACUGUGCAAACACGAAAGUGGACGUAUACGGUGUGACGCCUGCCCGGUGCCGGAAGGUUAAUUGAUGGGGUCAGCGCAAGCGAAGCUCCUGAUCGAAGCCCCGGUAAACGGCGGCCGUAACUAUAACGGUCCUAAGGUAGCGAAAUUCCUUGUCGGGUAAGUUCCGACCUGCACGAAUGGCGUAAUGAUGGCCAGGCUGUCUCCACCCGAGACUCAGUGAAAUUGAACUCGCUGUGAAGAUGCAGUGUACCCGCGGCAAGACGGAAAGACCCCGUGAACCUUUACUAUAGCUUGACACUGAACAUUGAGCCUUGAUGUGUAGGAUAGGUGGGAGGCUUUGAAGUGUGGACGCCAGUCUGCAUGGAGCCGACCUUGAAAUACCACCCUUUAAUGUUUGAUGUUCUAACGUGGACCCGUAAUCCGGGUUGCGGACAGUGUCUGGUGGGUAGUUUGACUGGGGCGGUCUCCUCCUAAAGAGUAACGGAGGAGCACGAAGGUUGGCUAAUCCUGGUCGGACAUCAGGAGGUUAGUGCAAUGGCAUAAGCCAGCUUGACUGCGAGCGUGACGGCGCGAGCAGGUGCGAAAGCAGGUCAUAGUGAUCCGGUGGUUCUGAAUGGAAGGGCCAUCGCUCAACGGAUAAAAGGUACUCCGGGGAUAACAGGCUGAUACCGCCCAAGAGUUCAUAUCGACGGCGGUGUUUGGCACCUCGAUGUCGGCUCAUCACAUCCUGGGGCUGAAGUAGGUCCCAAGGGUAUGGCUGUUCGCCAUUUAAAGUGGUACGCGAGCUGGGUUUAGAACGUCGUGAGACAGUUCGGUCCCUAUCUGCCGUGGGCGCUGGAGAACUGAGGGGGGCUGCUCCUAGUACGAGAGGACCGGAGUGGACGCAUCACUGGUGUUCGGGUUGUCAUGCCAAUGGCACUGCCCGGUAGCUAAAUGCGGAAGAGAUAAGUGCUGAAAGCAUCUAAGCACGAAACUUGCCCCGA